CCUACGGGGGGCAGCAGUGGGGAAUAUUGCACAAUGGGGGAAACCCUGAUGCAGCGACGCCACGUGAGUGAAGAAGAAAUUCGGUACGUAAAGCUCUAUCAGCAGGGAAGAAAAGGACGGUACCUGAGUAAGAAGCCACGGCUAACGACGUGCCAGCAGACGCGGGAAUACGUAGGGGGCAAGCGUUAUCCGGAUUGACUGGGUGUAAAGGGAGCGUAGACGGUGCGCCAAGUCUGGAGUGACAUGCAGCAGCUUAACUGCGGAACUGCGUUGGAAACGGGCGAACUAGAGUGCGGGAGGGGUCAGCUCCUUUCCUAGUGUAGCGGUGACCUGCUUAGAUAUU
rnacentral:rRNA from 1 species